ACCAUGCUAACGUGACAUUGCCUAACGAGGUUGUGGACAUGUUUGUGGACGAUCUACAUGAGAGAAAUUUAUAUGUAUGUGCCAGGAUCAGUGUGAAGCCUCCUGAGAUGCAAAAUGGAGCCGGCGACCAGCCCUUCUUCCUCGCCCUCAGCCUUGACACCACCGUUGACGCCUCCAAGAGCAGUCGGGCAUCGGCGUCGACGCCGGCAAGGCAACAUGUGUUGCAACAUGCAACCAAAUCAAAUGGACAAAGUUAUAUAUCUAAUAUUCAACCAUGUAGUUUACUAUUAUGCAGUGUGAAAAACGGUGUACAUCAGUUAUCUGGGACUAAUACUAUGGCGCGAUUUUGAUAUCUACCACACCGAACCUUGCUUAGAUAGGGCCAUUUUUUAGAUAUUUUGCGGAGUGUUUACUGUUGUUAGUAUCUACCAUCACCUCUGUGAGUAAUAUUAGAUAUAUUUUCAUCCUGAGAUACAUUGAGUAAUAUCAGAUGUUGAUUGAAAAAGGGUUAUAUCAGAUAUUUGAUCAUUGAACUUUU